rnacentral:rRNA from 1 species
CCCUUAGAUGUCCUGGGCCGCACGCGCGCUACACUGAGUGUCUGAGAUACGAGUCUGCCUGGUCCGGCAAGGUCUAGGUAAUCGCUAAAAGACACAUCAUGCUUGGGAUAGAUUAUUGCAAAUAUUAAUCUUGAACGAGGAAUUCCUAGUAAGCGCAAGUCAACAGCUUGCGUUGAUUACGUCCCCGCCCUUUGUACACACCGCCCGUCGCUACUACUGAUUGGAUGUUUAAGCGAGGUUCUCGAACUGCUAGCGACUUAGCUUCGGUGAGGUCGCAGUGUGGGAGGUGAACCUAGCUUUGGUGUCUAGAGGAAGUAAAAGUCGUAACA